GGGGAUGUUUAGUUCAGUUACUAGAAAAAAGUUCUUCACCCAGAGGGUGGCUGGGCACUGGAACGGGCUCCCCAGGGAAGUGGUCACAGCACCAAACCUGACAGAGUUCAAGAAGCAUUUGGACAACACUCAGGGCACACAGGGCAUUUGGACACAUGAUGGGACUCUUGGAGAUGGUUCUGUGCAGGGCCAGGAGUUGGACUUAGAUGAUCCUUGAGAGUCCCUUCCAGCUCAGCAUAUUCUGUGAUUCUGUACAGCUUCAGGUUUUGGUUAAUACAAUUACACAGCCACCAUGCAUCUCAUACCACCCAAAGGCUCAGCAAAAGAGCAGAAAGGCAUGAGACUUCUGUACCCCUCAGACUGAGGGAAGAGGGCAGUGGAAUCUGGGGACCAACAGCAUGUGUGGAGUCAAAAGGGGGUGAAUGCAUUUCUCCCUUCUCUCCCAAAUUUCUCCAGUUAUUCCUAAGAACUGGUAAAGUUGUGAAGUUAGGCCUGCUAUUGCUCUCUGCUUCCUGACAUAAGGGCUGGGUACAGAGAGUGAGCUGAGAAGGGAUUUAGAUUAAGCCAAAUUCAGCACUGCAGCCUGUGUUUGAGCUAAGGGAUGCUUGAUAACCCAGUGUAGCAUCGCUGAACCAGCUGCAGCAGCUUGACACAUACCUAGCUAGGGGAGCUCUUCCAUGCCCAAGACAAGCAGAGACAUUUUAUUUCUGGUUCUGAUUUAUUUAAAAAUUAAAAUAUAACAAAUAUACUACACUGUAAUUGUCAGAGUAGAGAUUGUCUUUGUCUUUCCAAGAAUGUGAAAUCUGAGUAUUGAAAUGGCAAAAAACAAAAAACAAAAAACCAAAAAAAAAAAGGAAGCAAGGAGGUUUGGAGUUUUUAAAUUUAAAACAUGGUUAUGUCAUCAGUGAUCUUGUGAGCUCCUCUAACUUCCUCUAAGAAAGAAGCUAAUGUCAUCAUUGAAGAUGAUAGAAAAUGCUAGUAGGAAAUGUAAUAAGAAAAUGCAGGAGGUGGAAGAAAAAACAAAGUAAGCUUAUGUAUUUGUUGAGGUUCAAGAAAAAGCUCAGAAGGAAGUCUGUUAGUAUUUACAACCAUGUAAAUUCAGUUAAAUCAGCAACAAUGAAAGAAAAAUAAUCUAUUCUUGUAAUCCAGCUCAAUGCUAAUGUAAAUUCAGUUAAAUCAGCAACAAUGAAAGAAAAAUAAUCUAUUCUUGUAAUCCAGCUCAAUGCUAAUGUAACUUUAGUUUUUCUAAAUUCCACCAAGGAUGACUCUAAUCUGAAGACUUUAAACCUGUCCCCUGUAGAGUGGGCUCUGUUGUCCCAUUAGCAGAAGGGCAGUUCUCUCACAGCAUAGGAACACUUACACUACACCAAUAGCCAGCACCUCCAUCACACUGCCUGGCAAUUAACAGUAGCUGCCACAGUAAAAUUAUUCCUCUGGUAAUGUGUUUGGGGUCUCACAGUUUUGAGUACUAGAACUACCUCUAUACUAAAAUGUGUGGGAAAUAAUAGUUUUUAAUGCAGAAACUGUGAAUCUUUUUCUGCUUUCUCUCAUUGUCACAGGCUUACAAUUACUGAAUUGGAGAUGCUGAUUAACAGCAAGCUUUCGACAUUCAACAAGUUAAGCCAUUGUGUUGGCAUAAUUAGGCAACUAAUUCUUUCACAGUUCACUCAAGCAAAGAAAUUAACUAGAAAAUUUAAGACCUAUUUUUAACGGGGGAUUUUUUUCCCCCACAGAGUAAUCCCUCUGACAGAUAUUGUAACAAAGUACUUGCAAUUCUCCUGCACUUCCUAAGGCAACACUUUCAUGCACAGAAUAUAAUUUUUGGACCAAGCAUCUAUCUGCCUUUUUAUUCACUUCAGUCAUAUGUGCAAAUCCGUACUGACAUAUGCAAAUGUAAAUGCUGAGUGCUCAAUCACUGCACCUACUUUAUAAGUAUGUCCCAUCAAGUUUUCUAAAGAUAAUUUGGCAAAUUCAGAAUUUCUGAAUAAUUUCUGCAAAUUAUUCCCAGAAGACAUUACUGUGACUAUAUGGAAGAAAGACAAAUGCCAGAAUGUAUAAUUCACUUGAAAAUUAAUCUUGUAUAUGCUUGUGCCAGAUUAUUUAACUUUCAUGAGGAAAAUGUUAGGAGGCAAAAAGAUACUGAUUCUGGGAAAUUGCUGAGUCUCUGGAACCUCUGGGAACCAGUUUAACUCCCUGUCAUUACUAGUUAUUAAUGAGGAAGCCUUCUCUGGGCUUGUUAUGCUGUUAAUUGGGGGUGUCCAACCGGAACGGUAGUUAGCAGUCCACAAUUUAUUUUUUUCAGUUGUCUAAUGAGUGCAGCAGAUUUGAAAAUUGAUGUUAGACUCUUGCUUUGGGCCUUCACUACAAGCUUUACAAAAUUUGUCCAAAGCAACCAUAGCACAACUACGCACCUGCAGCACACCAUUUAUUUAGUGAGGCAUCCCUAUGCCUGUAUGCUUUAAACACUAGAUGAAAACCAUUUUGGUUUUACUGUACACUUCUGUAAAAGAAGAACUUGUACACUACUUUCUGGAAAGAGAAGUUUUCUCUGGACAAUUUUUGGUAUGCAGAUGUUAAUUGUCAGACUUUGUUCCUUUAGCUACAUAGACAAUUUCAGGUUUUUUAUGACUGUGAAAAUUGCCUCACAAAAUUUACUAAAGCUUUAGCACAGAAACCAUCUGCUCUUCAAUAGCUUGACUCCUAUUAUACCUAUUAGAAAAAGGAAGAGAAAACCCACAAACCUAGCUCAUAAAACAAGUGGGUGAACAGGAAAAGAAACACCAGAGUAAAAGGUCAUUACAGGAUAUAGAGGUUGAUUUUCUAAGGAGAAAUAAUUGUUGUUCUAGCUGAACAACAAUAAAAAAGUUACAUGCAAUUGUUGAGCUGCUGCAAAAAUUUAUUUCAACCCUGCAGCUCAAAGAGAAGAUAUUCAAAUACAUCCUGAAAACUUCAAGCUGAUAUCAGCACAGUUACUGCAAUACUCCUCAGGUUCUCUCAGAAGAAUUGGGCUGACAACAGGAAUGUUCUGGGAAAGCCUGAUCUUCUGUCCAGGCAAAUUUCACACAUUAUUUAUUGGCUGCUGGACUUUGCUGUAUGCAGAAGAGCAUGUAGGCAUUGCUGGUGGUCAAAUCAGGCUGCUCCAGCUUCCUGGCCAUGAGGAAUGGCCAAGGCUGGAGCAUGUAUUUGAACUCCCUAUACCUCUGUUCUGCUUAUAGGAAAAUUUAUAAAUUUAUUCUAGUUUAUUUCACUGUAUUUCUUGUCGGUGGUGGUUUUAUCUUUGUCCUUCCUUCACUGUCUUCAGUCCUCUUCCCUAUGGGGUUUUUUAUGUUUAUCCUCUUGCUGGAUGGUCCUGUCACUCAGCCUCCAAGGAAAAGUAUUGAUCCAUUUGAAGCUGAAGCAGAGGACUGUUCUUUUAUUUUUUUUUUUUUUUUGGCACUGUGGUGAAAUGCCCCUACUUUACAUCUUGUUUUGAGAAAUAGUCAUACUUUGUGGUUUUACUGGGUGGAGAUUUUUAUUACUGAUUUCUCCUCCAACCUACCAUUGGGAAAUACCCCUGAAAACACUGCAAGAUUACCGGCACAGCAGGAAGAAAGUUUUACUAAAUUUUCUAAUACUUUAAGUAUUUGAAAUUGUUGUCACAGGUGCCUCCAUCUGAAUUCUGAGGAAGGUUUCACCCAAGUUCAUGGUCUAUGGAAUGACUUGAAAUAGAGGCAUUUCUUACCAGUGGAAUGACCUUGUUUCUUGAAUGACUCAGCCACUGCAGACUUUCAUCUGCGGAACACUGAGGACCUUCCUUGAGGCUCUGGUUUAAGUAAUUGCCUGAGGCACACCUCCUAAAAACACAGACUUGGUCAGAAGUACAUGGCCUUCAUACAGAUGUCCUGGACCCUGGCAUCAGUGACUUACUGAUAGUUAUUUUGGAUAUCAGUCACUUUAGCCAUGCCUGGUACUUAGAAAAACUCUUAAAAGUCAGUUCCUUAAUUCUUGAUCCAUUUUGUUUGUUGCUUUUAUAAAACUGGGUUUGUUUUUUUUUUCCUUUUCAGUAUGAACUGCCUUUAUUCAAUAGUAUCUUGGACUUUGAUGUACUGCACCUUCACUGUACCAUCAAAAGGGUUUUGUAGGGAAGUCUAAAUCACCACUUUUCACAGUUGUUUGGCUUUACUGACUUGAAGGGUUUUCUCAGUGCCAUCCCUCUUCUUCUGGGGAAUACUGGCAGUUAUUCUGCAAGGAAGCCAAAUAGAUCCGUUUGCUUAAAUGUUUUGUCUGGGAUCUAAGAUGCUCUGUGUCUAUUUACUUCAUUAACUUACCUUUAUCCUGUAGGAGUCCUAAAAAAUUGAGUUUCUCUUUAAAGGGCUCCUGCAAAAACAAUUAAAGUAAUUAAAAUUAUCUCUGUUUGUGUUUAGAGACCUGUUUUCCUUCCCUCCAUGGCCCAAAUAAGAGCUUCCUGUGAUCCGAGUUCCAGCCAGACAUGUUGUAGGAUGGAGUUUUACUCCCUCAACCACAAUUCCUUCUGUCCAACAACAUGCUGUAGUAAAAAGCAUUCAAUGUCUUUUCUGAUUUAAUUAGUGAUGCCUCCAAAUGUUUCCUGAUGAAAGUAAAACUGGUGACAACACCAAAGUUGUGGCUUUGCUGAAUGCUGUCUCAAUUUCUUCUGCCACUGAAUGGGAAGACUGUCAAAAAAUCAAAAAUAAUUUGAUGUGUUUAGUAAUUAUAGUGACAAAUCUUAAAUUUUCAAAGGAUGAAUAUUUGUCAGUCAUCAGUACCCUCAGCAGUCAGUAGGUAAAUAUCUUCUCAGAUGCAAAAAUACAUAGGCUUUCACUGUAAUCCAAACCACCUUGAACAGUAUUUAUAGGAAAUGAAAAGCAGAAAAGUAUUGUAAAAUUAAAAAUAUGUUUAUCUAUUUCAGUUUGGAAAAGAAAAAAAAAAAAAAAACGGUCCAAAUGAAAGUGCACAUGGCUAAUAUUUCAAUCCCAAGUAAUUUCCAAACAAACGGAACUGGGGUUUUUCUAUUAUCAUUUUAUGAUGCAUAAUUUUGAAGUCCAGGAAUCAAAAAGGACUCAUUUUCUCCGUUUUGCUUUGAACAAUAUAAGUUUUAUAACAAACUAAACCAAAUUACUUAAAACCAGAAAGGGUAUUUCCUGUCUGUACCUCACAGUUCUCCUGCUUGUAUUAACUCUGUCUGCUCUUUUCCCUUUCUGUGUCAGCCUGCAUCAGUCCAGAAGGAACAUCUUUGGAAGGAUGUGCUUCUGCAUCCGAAGUCUGGAUGUGGCUGCAAGAAUCAUAAGCUUAAUAACAGGAAACGGCUAAAGUUUCAUUUUGAUAGAGUGGUCAUACAGCAUUCAACUCUAAAAAUCACUUGCAGGUGGGGGCCUCGCUGCAGCUCUGGCUGGAGUGCUGCUGAUAUACUCUGAGCUUCUGCAGUCUUUGAACUUCUGGUGGCCAACCCUGUUGCCUUUCCAGCCAUCCUGGACAAACUUAAAAUGGUUAGUUGGACAUUCUCAGACCAAUUGCAGGAGCAAAGCUGAUCAGCCUAUUCACAGCACAUUUGACAUGUUUGAAGGAUGCUUAGACUUUGGGACUAAUCUUUUUGGCUCCUUCUUUUUGGCUGCUGAUGUUGGCUGGGCUGUGUAUAGACAUAGGCCUCUUACAUCUGGCAUGUGCAAAGCUGUCAGUGCCCUUGUUGCAACAAAAAAAGGAUGUACUUAAAAUCAGAUGACUACACAUGCUCACAGUAGCAUAGGAAGUUGGCGUAACCUUACUGUUCAAAACUGGGUCAUUUAUCACCUGACUAAUUUCUGAAAUCUCUGUAGAGGAAAACUACAUGGAACCUUACCAAAAGGAAACAAUAUCACAGGCAGAGAUAUUUACCAGGGGUAGAAAGCUGCCUUAAUCUCUGCUGCCAGCACAGGUAAAGGAAUUUGCAAUUUUCUUGCAAUUAUCUCAAAUGAAAAAUGAAGGAUUCUUCCAAUUAUUUCAACUUGUUUUCAUAGAAUCACAGAAUAUACUGAGAUGGACGGGACCCACAAGGACCAUCAAGUCCAACUCCUGGCCCUGCAAAGAACCAUCCCUAACAGUCAAACCAUAUGCCUGAGAGUGUUGUCCAAACACUUAUUUGGACUCUAUCAGGCUGGUGCUGUGACCACUGCCCUGGGGACUUGUCCCAGUGCUCAACCACCCUCCAGGUGAAGAAACUUUUUCUAAUAUCCAGCCUAAAGCUCCCUUAACACAAUUUCAGGCCAUUCCCUUGGGUUUUGUCACUGGGCACUUCUAUUAAAGUCAUAUUAAAUUACCAGGUUUCCAACAAGUUAGCCUAUUAUAUAGAAAUUACAUCACUUGCUCUAUGUUCAUUAGAAAUUUGCAGCUCAAGGACAAGCUAAAUUAAUUUCUUGUACUUAAUUUUUUCUGGAAUGUCACCCAUUCACUGUUUUAUCUAUGUCUGCAUAUCAGUGCAGCUGACAAAACCAAGCAACCAUACCACUACACAAGUCAUAACAUUUCCGCAAAUAGAACUAGAAUAACAACACACUUCCAGAAUUAUCUGUCAUGGGUGGAAACUUAAGGCAGUGCCAUUAAUAAUGAAAGGAAAAAAUCAAGACAGUUCUAGAAGAGCAAUAUAUUUUUAGUUAGAAAGGGGACAAUGAAAGAUGAAAGCAUCUACUCUUUUUCUGGUUUUGGAAAAGAAUAAAGCAUUGUAUGGUAAAACUGUCUAGGGGAGUUAAAUGGGUGGGGAAGAUGGAGAAAUCAGAAUCAGUAUGGCUGUGACAAGCUUCACAAACUGAAACACUUGCUACCAUUUGUGGAGGUCAAGCUUUCUUUCCACAAAGGAUUAAAAGAAUGGUUCCCCAACCUAAUUUACAAACAGGUAAGAAAACCUGUGACCAGGGCAACUCCAUUUUUAUUUUUGCAAUAUGUUUUUCAACAAUAUUAGUGAGGGAAAAUGUACUAUUAUCAAAUUAAAAAAUCAGAGUAAAGCAUCAUCAUUUUAGCAAAGAAGUGAAGAUCCAGUUUCACUAAGCUGACAGUUGAAGUGUAACUAUUCAGUAACAGUAGAGAUCAUAGAAUAUCUUGAGUUGGAAGGCACCAUAAGAAUCAUCAAAAUCCUACUGUCCAGCAUAUGACAGCCCCAGGAAGCACAUCAUGUAUCUGAGGGCAUUGUCCAAAUGCUUCUUGAACUCUGGCAGAUAUUUCAAUACUCUAACAAUUUGCUGUUCAGGGGGAGAUAGUGAUAGCUGGGAUACAACAGGAUUUCUAUGUCCUGUGACUGGGUCUUCCAUGAGAGCAAACACAAGGUAUUACAGCUACACCUACUGCCCUGAUGGGAUGGAUCACAUAAACCUUAGCUGAACCUUAUGCCAAAUCUUUAUCAGUCUUGCACAAAAAUGUUUUGGAUUUACAAUUAAUGAUACUCUAAACUAAGGCCCUGAAAUGUCUAUUUAAACAUACAUCCAAUUAACAAGAAGUGUAAACCAUUAUAAAAUACAGACUUAACAUCAGCCUCAGCAUUUUUUAAAAUCUGUCCUAAAUUAAAAUUCAGUUUUAAAUUUUAAAUUUUAAAUUCAGUUGCAAAACUCCAUCAGAUGAAGAAUUGAGUUUAAGUCUUUGAGUGCACUUCAAAGACACUGCGGUAGAAAGUUAUCAGAUGUCCUCCUUCCUGUUACAGAUAAAGAUCAAUUGCUUUUCACAGGCAAUUUUGUAUGCGUUCUCGUGUAAACGAUGAGCUAUAGCCUCCUCUAAUAUUCAGUCAUCUCAACUGACUUUUGCAUGACCAUAGAAACAUAGCUCAGCACAUCAGUCUCAUAUAUCCUAAAGAUGGUGUUAAAGUGAAGCCACAACGUGUUCUGUAACCCUCCCCCAGCUAAUUAUUAAAUGACUAUUUCUAUAGAUUCACUACGCCCCCAAACCUUAAAAUCUUAAGUACUUCUUCAAAUGCAGUGUUUUAAAUAUACUGUCCAUCUGUUCUGUGGAAUUCACCCAAAGCUUUGUUGGUAACAGAGGUGUUAACAGUGAAGCAUGAAGCAUGGACUCCUGUAGUUGGCUUGUUGAACAAUCCCUUGCAGCCUGAUGUGUUUCACCUCCUGCAUUCCUUCACCUGCCUUAGAAUGCUGCUUAGCAAAUUGGCUCAUUAGUUAGGAUUGAAAAACAGAGGAGAGGUUGUCUGCUCUGAGCAGUUUCUCUAAAGGACACACAAUUCACCGAAUGGUUUGCAUUGUAAUUCCUCCUCCAACAUGUGACUAGACACAGGUGACAUUGUAAUAUGACAUGACAAAAAGGGACACAUCUCCCAAAUAUAAUCUAAUCCCAUGAGAAAGGAAGAUUUUACUUUAAAUACUUCUAAUUCCCAGCAGUGUGACGUGGAAGGAUAGUUGGGUGAGAAGAGACAGUUGCCACAUGAAAAUAAAGGAAUAACAAAGUAAA